GCGUGAGUUGCAGUUAUAAAUUAAGUCAGAUAAAAUAUGCCUGACCUUUCCACAAUUGAAACAAAAACCAGUUUUUUUCUCCCUGUAUCAAAUGCCAGAUUGUUAGUGAAAUGCUAAUGGCAGUAGGAAAGGUUGGUGCUGCCUUAGUUUCAGAGACUCUGGCACCCAUAGCAUUUUUAAUUGCUCUUCCUGGCAAGGCCACCCCUCUUGCUCCCCCAGCUGCCUGAAGAGCCAGAGCCAGCUCCAGACCCCAGCUCCAUUCAUUAGAUCAGGUCCCGGAGGAGGUGCAGAGAGGGGUGUGGGGUGGAUGCCUGAAGUCUGUCCUGCUCAGAAACAGGUAGUUGAGCACAGGCAGAGGAGAUGGGGUGGCCACAGGCUCAGCCACCUGUCCUCAGUCCAGACUUAUGUCCCUGUGCUGUGGAGGAAUGCCAAGCUGCUUGCUGGGCACCUGGGGGCAGGGCCUGGUGCCUGCUCAUAGCCAGCUCUUAGCAAACCCCCAGCCUCACCGGUCUCUCCUCUUCCAAGUGGAACUGGUAUCUCUAUCCAGCUCCCUCACAGGCUCUUAUGAGGUCAUGCACAUGCCAGCUGUUUCUGAUUUAUAAAACAUACAAAGGUGGAGAGGCUGUACUUGACCUUUGGGUUUGGAGGUGGCACCCACCUGUGUCUCUUCACCCUGGGAUGCUGCUUAUCAGCUAAGCAUUGGUGGGGAGAGCAUUACUUCUCUGUGAUUUAGUAAUUGUGAUGUUGUAUUUUAAGCUCUGCUCACAUGCCCAGCAUCUUUCUAGACAUUUUCUAGUGACACUAAUCCUCACAAAGAUCCCAAUUAUCCCCCAUUUUACCAAGAAAACUGAGGCUGAGAUGUUAAAGGACAGAUGUGUCAGGCCACCUGUGACGAUGGUGCUGUGUCAAGCCCAUCAAGCCCUCUGCUGUCUUAGUGACCAUGGCUGCUUUGGCUGCCACCCAGCCCAUCAAUUGCCCAGAGGCCUGCUUUUCUACUUCCCUAACAUUUGGGAUGCUUCCAAGUGAAGACCAUUUAUGCCCCCUUACUCCUAGAGGGGACCUGCAUGUCACCCCUGCUGAACCAGUAGCAUCCUGGGACUGGUCAUUCCCAUUGGGGUUUCCUCUGUCAUUUGAAGACUGUUGUUUUUUGAGGACUGUCCAGGAAAGGUUGCCCAGUCCAGCAUCUUCUGAUCUCAUCUCUUUCACGGUGUUUUGAAUGGGCAUGAUGUCAUUUGUUAUCAGCACAGAAUGCUGGCUAUAAUGGGUGCUUAACUGCCUGCAAGGAGAGCUCCGAAGAUUGAGUUAAACAGAUAAGACCCUCACUACCAUUUAAUACGCUCUGAGCCUUGACAAAUGCCUACUAUUUGUUCUCUAACUGCUUUAUCUCUGUAAAAUGAUAUGUUGAAUUACUAUGAGCUAACUGUUGUAGAAAGAAUUUUCCCCUUAACGUAUGUAAACUGUCUGGUUUAAAACAAAAACAAAAAAAACUUAACAGUUGUGGCCCACACUUUGCCUUCCCCAAGACUAAGGAACCUCCGUCCCAUUCACUACUGUAUAUUUAGAUCUGGCAGUUUCCUUUAUUUUUUGUUUUGAAAAAUUAAUACAUACACAUGGUAAAACAUCCAACAGUACAGAGCAUACAAUAAAAAGUAACCUUCCAACAGGGGCCAAGCUCCAAAGCCCUUGUCCAGUUAACUGCUGCUGUCUAUAUCCUGUGUAUUCUUUCAAAGCGAUUCUAUGCAUUUACAAGUUUUAAAAUAUGUAUAUUUAUAUAUCUAUUUUUAAUACAAACAGUAGCAUUCUAUA
rnacentral:lncRNA from 1 species